AUACAAAUCAAUAUACAAAGAAUCGGAGAUCAGAGAAUUUUAAGGCCCCACUUCGAAGGCUAGCCUAGGACUCCAAAUUCUCAGGGUCGGCCCUGUCUCCACCAACCAGAACAUCACCGCCGUCGCGAAUCUUGUGACCACCACGACAGCACCACCCAUCUUCUCGAUUCUCCUCCCCGACGACAUCCCAGACUAACCCAGGUCCCAGAACCACGACGACUUGAUUCUCUGCUUCUCGAUGAUAUCACCGCCAUCACGACAACCAUCAUCCCAUCGCCGCCGCCAGUUGAGGAAUUUCAUGUUGAUUAUAGAACUCCUCAGGCUGAAUUUCGUGUUGCACUUGUUAAAGAUGCCUACUUGACCAGGCCUUUGGGACUGCAAGACGGGUUUAUUCUGAAACCCCAAAGUGAAUAUUUAAAAGACAAAUACUAAAAACCAAAAAUAAAAGCAUAUGACAGGUUAGAGAUCUUGGGUGUUUCAUAGUUAAUUGACAAUAAAAAAGUGACACAACUCCUUAUCAGUUGUUUCGUAGUUUGUGCACUUCCCAACACAAGAGAACUAUUAACAUUGAAGAUCAGGUUUGAGUGCUCAGAGACCUGCAAUUGGGUUUUUUGAGAUUGAUCGUUUGGGUCCCAAUUUUGGUUGUAUUUCAUGAUUGGUUUUAACAUGUAUCAAGGCAAAUGUACUAACAGUGGUAACUCAAGUGUAACCAAAGUUGUUCAUCUAUUAAUGAAAAUCCAUUGCACUGAUU